UACGUAGGGUGCAAGCGUUGUCCGGAAUUACUGGGCGUAAAGAGCUCGUAGGUGGUUUGUCGCGUUGUUCGUGAAAACUCACAGCUCAACUGUGGGCGUGCGGGCGAUACGGGCAGACUUGAGUACUGCAGGGGAGACUGGAAUUCCUGGUGUAGCGGUGGAAUGCGCAGAUAUCAAGAGGAACACCGGUGGCGAAGGCGGGUCUCUGGGCAGUAACUGACGCUGAGGAGCGAAAGCGUGGGGAGCGAACAGG
rnacentral:rRNA from 1 species